AGCAGGUCAAUGGAAAGUCAGGUGGGAGAGGUGUUAACUGUGUUCCAGGCACUUGACCGUAGUCCUUUGAAAAUGUGCCUUCAUUUAAUCCUCGUAAGUACCCAAUGAGGCAGGGACUGUUAUUACCCCAGUUUGUAUAUGAGGAAGUUGAAGCACAGAGAGAUUCAGUGACUUGUCCCAGGUCAUAGAACUGGAACGUGGCAGAGCUGAGAUUUGAACCCGGUUGGCCUGAGAGAGAGAUGGUGUAGAGCGCCCUCCUUUGUUCCCUAGGGAACAAUGCCAUGUCCUACCCACUGGGCACUAGCUCCGCCGUGUCAUUUCAAAGGGCAAUAUGACCUAGGCCAGGAAGACAAAAGACUGAGGGUGUCUCCUUGAGGUCAUUCUAUGGCAUGAAUUCUAGUGGUGUACGUCCCACUCCCAAACACUCCCUCAGUGCAGGAGGUCCCCUCCUCCAGGCUGCUCUGGGCCAGGCCACAGCUUCCAGCAGAGAACUGGAACCAGGCUGCCUCUGAAAAUAGAGAACGUGGGCAGAGAGGCAGCUGGUUUCUUUCCGUGCCAAGUGGGCACAGUGCCAAUCCCUCCUGGAAGAACUCUGCCCAUCUUCCUUUCCCCUUGACCCAGCGGGACGAGGAAGCUGCGUCUUCAGGCAAUUCUUCAUUGCCUUUGAACAUGGAGCCCCAUCCUAAAGAGAUGAGAGCCUGAACAUUUACGCUGGGGUGUGUUUCUAAUGAACUCUGAAAGAUGAAGAUUCCAAUUCAUCCAUUUUCUAAGGUGGGAGAAGAAGGCCAACUUUUUCAUUAGCAUGGACAUUGACUUUCAACAAUCAUGACUGAGUCCUAUUUCCUGGUGAGCAUAUUAAUGGUUCUCACCAGUCUGGAAAUUGUCUGAAGCUCUGCUGUUAUUCUCAGCUCAGAGCAAUCAGCAGAGAGCCUCAAGUACGGAGACAGCAAGUGUGUCACUCUCUUGAACUGCCAACUUCGAUUGAAGAAUGAGAAAAUCGUAUGCAGCCAGAGAUCAAGGUUGAAUUGUUUUACAAAAAUCUGGCAAUUUUGCCUUACAUGUACCAAUGUCUUUGAUAGCUUCAAAUAGUAUGAAAAACAGCACACUGUUAAAUUACAACCCCUAAUACUCCCAACCUCUUUUUCUUCUUUGCUUUUCUACUUAGCAUGAACCCCAUCUAAUAUGCUACAUGUUUCACCUAAAUUUUUAUUGUGCUUGCCCCCUACUUCAAUGGAAGCUCCAUGAGGGAAAGAAUUUUCUGACCAUUCUGCUGUGUGUUAAGUGCUCAGAAAAGCACCUUGAACUUAGAAAUUGCACUGUAUAUGUUAGGCGAAUGAAUAAAUUAAUAUGUAGUACAAAGACUGCCUUUUAGCUUACACUGUACCCCAUGGGGCUCAAUCUAUUUUUUCUGUUC